rnacentral:tRNA from 1 species
CUUAAAAUGGCAGAUUUAAUGCCUAGACUUUAAGCGUCUAUUAUGGUUUAUAAACCUUUUAAUU